CCCCGCUCCACCGCCCCUGCCUGCCCCUCCAGGCUCUGGCGUGCCUCCAGCGCGCUGUGGGCACCAUCCUCGUCCUGUCCCUCCUGCGGGCCCUGGCCCCAGGAUGGCCUGACUGGUGUUCUCUGAGUACAGCUGAGGCACCCAGCUGACUCCUUGAAUGCUGUUACAAGAACAAAUCCUGUCCCGUCCCUCCUUCCCUGAGGAGGCCAUCAGUCUCCUUGCUGAAACAAUCCCUUAUCCAACUGGCUGAGAAACCAGCUCCUGGUAGACAAGGUAGUACAGUGUUUUUGGAGAGCUCGCGCAGGUCUCAUUCUCUCUCCACUUCUGGGCCUUCAAGUCCUGAGGAUCAGUUUCUGAUGUGGGACAGGGAUACAGCCACCCCUCCCAGGCAGCUGGCAGCAAAACAUGAGAGGAAAACAGCAGAGAAGUGGGGCCAACCAUGGGGGCAUCACACUUCCAGAGCCCAAAACAGUCAAGAAUGGUCAGGCAAGAACAGAAGUGCUCCUGAGAAUAGUGGGAUGGAUUCUGAAAUUGGGUCCUGAACACCUGGGCUAGGUAGUUGCUAUUCAACAGGGAACUAUUGCACGGAAGGGGCAAGGAAGAGAGCCAGGGAGGCAGCCAGAGGGGUGCAGAGGAAGCAAACUACCCUCACACACACCUCUGGACUGCAGUAUCUCUGGACUGCAGUGUCUCUGGGUGCAACCAGCCACCUACCAGAGGGUCUCUGACCACUGCCACAGCCCCAAGCUUGCUUUUUUUUUUUUUUUUUGAGACAUAGUCUCACUCUGCCACCCAGGCUGGAGUGUGCAGUGGCACAAUCUCGGCUCUCUGGUCACUGCAAUCUCCACCUCCCAGGUUCAAGUGAUUGUCCUGCCUCAUCCUCCCAAGUAGCUUGGAUUACAGGCAUGCACCACCAUGCCCGGCUAAUUUUUGUAUUUUUAGUAGAGAUGGGGUUUUACCAUGUAGGCCAGGCUCGUCUCAGAACUCCUGACCUCAAGUGAUCCACUCACCUUGGCUGGGAUUACAGUGUGAGCCACUGCGCCCGGCCCCCAAGCUUUCUUUUUUUUUGAGACGGAGUCUUGGUCUGUUGCCCAGGCUGGAGUACAGUGGCGCGAUCUUGGCUCACUGCAGCCUCUGCCUCCCAGGUUCCAGUGAUUCUCCUGCCUCAGCCUCCUGGGUAGCUGGGAUUACAGGCUCAUGCUACCACGCCCAGCUAAUUUUUGUAUUUUUUAGUAGAGAUGGGGUUUCACCAUGUUGGCCAGGCUGGUCUCAAACUCCUGAGCUCAGGUGAUCUGCCCACCUUGGCCUCCCAAAGUGCUGGGAUUACAGGCGUGAGCCACUGCACCCGGCCAUCCAAGCUUUCUUAAGAACAUGGAAGUCACACAGACACACACACAUUGUGUGUGUGUGUGUGUGUGUGCACCUGGCCAUCCAAGCUUUCUUAAGAACAUGGCAGUCACAGAGACACACACUAUGUGUGUGUGUGUGUGUGUGUGUGUGUGUGUGUGUGUGUGUGUGUGUGUGUGUGUUGGGCUGAGGAUCACUUGAACCAACUGCGCUUGGACAACUGUCUCCAAAGCUCAUGGGGGAAGGACUAGCUCCUUUCUGAGUUCGGUGAUGUAGCUUUGGAGACAGGCAAAUCUGAGGUCAAAUCCUGAUUGUAUCACUAGCUCUGUGAUUCUGGGCACGACUGAAUGUCUCUGGCCUCAGUUUCGUUAUUUGGAAAGGGAGUAGGAAUAAUAACAGACACCAAUAUAACAUUCACACCAAGCCAGGAGCUGUUUUUGGUGCUUUACAUAUAUUAACUCAUUUAAGUCCUUGCUACAACCCUAGGAGGUAGGUACAGGUUGAGUAUCCCUUAUCCAAAAUUCUUGGGACCAGAAGUGUUUUGUAUUUCAGAUUUUUUUUCGAAUUUUGUAAUAUUUGCCUAUAAUAAUGAGAUAUGUUGGGGAUGGGACCCAAGUCUAAACACAAAAUUCAUUUGUUUUAUAUACACCUUGUACACAUAGCCAGAAGGUAAUUUUUUAUUUUUUUGAGACGGAGUCUUGCUCUGUCGCCCUGGCUGGAGUGCAGUGGUGCAAUCUUAGCUGACUGCAACCUCUGCCGCCCAAGUUCAAGCAGUUCUCCUGUCUCAACCUCCUAAGUAGCUGGGAUCACAGACGUGUGCCACCACAGCCGACUAAUUUUUGUAUUUUU
rnacentral:lncRNA from 10 species